UGUUGGUUCAAAACGAAAUCGACUUUUCUGUUAAACUCGCAGCUGUUUGCACUCAUUUGCCAUUCAAUUCAUUAUUUACAUAUGUAUAAGUUCUAUCUAGAAACUGGGGAAAUUUUCGCUGUCUGUUUACACAGAAUUAUAUUAACAAAGGGCAGCCAUCAAUAGAUUAUUUAGAGCAGAUCAUCAUGGCAUGCACUAGUAUACCUCAAGCUUGUAAUUUUGAAUUCAAUUAAAUGAUCAAAAAAUGUA